rnacentral:rRNA from 1 species
GGGCCCGCACAAGCGGUGGAGCAUGUGGUUUAAUUCGAUGAUACGCGAGGAACCUUACCAGGGCUUAAAUGUUAGGUGACAGAUCUAGAAAUAGAUUUUUCUUCGGACACUUAACAAGGUGCUGCAUGGUUGUCGUCAGCUCGUGCCGUGAGGUGUCAGGUUAAGUCCUAUAACGAGCGCAACCCCUGUUGUUAGUUGCCAGCGAGUAAUGUCGGGAACUCUAGCAAGACUGCCAGUGCAAACUGUGAGGAAGGUGGGGAUGACGUCAAAUCAUCACGGCCCUUACGUCCUGGCUACACACGUGCUACAAUGGUAGGUACAGAGAGCAGCCAAUGCGCGAGCAUGAG